GGAGAGUUGUCCGAGUGGCUUAAGGAGCAUGAUUGGAAAUCAUGUGUGCGGUGAACUCCGUACCCAGGGUUCAAAUCCCUGACUCUCCGCCA
rnacentral:tRNA from 3 species